UACGGGGGGGGCAAGCGUUGUUCGGAAUUACUGGGCGUAAAGGGCGCGUAGGCGGUUUGCUAAGUUGAAUGUGAAAACUCUGGGCUUAACCCAGAGCCUGCAUUCAAUACUGGCAGGCUAGAGUUCUGGAGGGGAUAGCGGAAUUCCUGGUGUAGCGGUGAAAUGCGCAGAUAUCAGGAGGAACACCAAUGGCGAAGGCAGCUCGCUGGGGACGGUAACUGACGC
rnacentral:rRNA from 1 species